GGAGGGAUCAUUAUGAGUUUUCUCUCUUACCCAAGAGUAGAACGAGGACUGUAACGUGUUCAAACACAACUUUCUUAAGCUCUACAUGUCGAAAGACUUUAGAACCAAUAGACAAAACAACAACAACAAACAAAAAACUAAACACGACUCGCAACAACGGAUAUCUUGGUUCUCGCAACGAUGAAGAACGCAGCGAAAUGCGAUACGUAAUGCGAAUUGCAGAAUCCAGUGAAUCAUCAAAUGUUUGAACGCAUAUGGCGCCUUUCCGCGUAGGAGAGGCACGUCUUUAUGAGCGGCGUUUUAACCCAUUUCCAAAGCAUUCGUGCGGAGGAAGAGAUGCGGCUGUUCUCGCUUCGGUGAGAACUGUUGUGAAAUCCAGAGGGCUCUUUUCUUUUCGACCUCGAGUGACUCGUGUCGCCUGCAGCGAGAGAGGAAGCCAGACAUCCCGGCUCCAACGGAUAUUGCCUCUUGUAGGCUUUCCUGUUGGGCACACAGCCGCGUCUUCAGCUUCACACAAACCUCUUUCGUGAGACAUUUCUGUAGUCCUGUCGAAGAACGUUCCACACACCUUGUAGUGUCGUGGUAAAUACGUGGAAAACCCCAUCACCAACCAUCGUCUGCUUACGCUGACGCACUUAUUCGAAAGCCCUCAUAUAAAACGAGAGAACCCGCUGAACUUAAGCAUAUUAUUAAGCGGAGGAAAAGAAACUAACAAGGAUUCCCUCAGUAACGGCGAGUGAAGCGGGAAGAGCUCAAGUCGAAAAUCCUUGCUCCACGCGGGGCAAGGAGUUGUGGCCUCGAGACCCUUUGUCAUGGCGCAGCAAUGCAUCUCCAGAGAUAAGUCCGUUUGAACACGGCGUCAGAGAGGGUGAGAACCCCGUUCAUUCUCUGGAGGGAGACCGGUACGACAGGGGUUCGCAGAGUCGCGUUGCUUGGGAGUGCAGCGCAAAGUGGGUCGUACACGUGAUCCAAAGCUAAAUACUGGCGAGAGACCGAUAGUGGACAAGUACCGUGAGGGAAAGAUGAAAAGCACCUGGAAACGGGAGUGAAAAAGAGCUUGAAAUUGUUGCGAGGUAAGCACUGGUGAAGGUUUAUUUGCGACGCUCGUGUUUUGGAGGGGGCUGAUGUCGCGGUUGUCUGUCCGAGCUUCGUAAAGGGGCCGGCGGGUGGCUGUGCGCAAGAGGUCCUAGAGAUCACACGGGCGGAGCCGUCUGCAUUGUUUUGGCUCUACAAGGUCUUAGAAGGUCGGGGGGAAGGUGGCGAGGCCGCGACGACAAGUCGAUGUGCUCUCGAGUUCUAUAGCCCUCCGAUUCGACAACUCGACCGGCCGGAACAAUUCUUUGGAAGGGCGUGGAGGGAGAGGAAGGGGAGUGAGGCGCGUCGUAGGCGGUCAGUUCGGGAGGACAAUGUCCUGCCGGGCUCCGUCCUGCGGCUCACGCAGCGCCCCCAAGGCCGAUCCAGACACCGCCAACAAACCCGCGGACGCAAGUGUUCUCGUCGGCUCGUCUGACGAGGAAACAAGCCCACCAAUGACCCGUCUUGAAACACGGACCAAGGAGUCCAACGUGUGUGCGAGUAUUUGCCUGGUUCAAGGGCGGAUGCGCAGUGAAAGCAAAGGGCGACGCUUGUCGACGCCUGAGGUGUGAAGGGACGCGGCUCAAAAGGACGCGACUCCGCAACAUCGGCCGGCCCCGGUGUCUUUGGGGACUGAGCACGAGCACCCAUGUUGGGACCCGAAAGAUGGUGAUCUAUGCCUGAGCAGGGCGAAGCCAGGGGAAACUCUGGUGGAGGCUCGCAGCGAUACUGACGUGCAAAUCGUUCGUCGGAUUUGGGUAUAGGGGCGAAAGACUAAUCGAACCAUCUAGUAGCUGGUUCCCUC
rnacentral:misc_RNA from 1 species